rnacentral:rRNA from 1 species
UGGGGAAUAUUGCACAAUGGGCGAAAGCCUGAUGCAGCGACGCCGCGUGAGGGAUGACGGCCUUCGGGUUGUAAACCUCUUUCAGCAGGGAAGAAGCGAAAGUGACGGUACCUGCAGAAGAAGCGCCGGCUAACUACGUGCCAGCAGCCGCGGUAAUACGUAGGGCGCAAGCGUUGUCCGGAAUUAUUGGGCGUAAAGAGCUCGUAGGCGGUUAGUCGCGUCUGCUGUGAAAACUCGAGGCUCAACCUCGGGCUUGCAGUGGGUACGGGCUGACUAGAGUGCGGUAGGGGUGACUGGAAUUCCUGGUGUAGCGGUGGAAUGCGCAGAUAUCAGGAGGAACACCGAUGGCGAAGGCAGGUCACUGGGCCGCAACUAACGCUGAGGAGCGAAAGCAUGGGGAGCGAACAGGAUUAGAUACCCUGGUAGUCCAUGCCGUAAAACGUUGGGCACUAGGUGUGGGGUCCAUUCCACGGAUUCCGUGCCGCAGCAAACGCAUUAAGUGCCCCGCCUGGGGGAGUACGGCCGCAAGGCUAAAACUCAAAGGAAUUGACGGGGGUCAUAGCUGUUUUCCU